rnacentral:rRNA from 1 species
AACCUGCCCCAAAGUGAGGAAUAAGCCACCGAAAGGUGGUCUAAUACUUCAUAAUAUCCAUCUCGUAUGGAUUAAAGCUUUAUGCGCUUUGGAGGGGCCUGCGUAACAUUAGCUAGUGGUGAGGUAAAAGCUCACCAAGGCUUCGAUGUUUAACUGGUUUGAGAGGAUGACCAGUCACACUGGGACUGAGAUACGGCCCAGACUCCUACGGGAGGCAGCAGUAAGGAAUCUUCCACAAUGGGGCAACCCUGAUGGAGCAAUACCGCGUGCAGGAUGAAGCGUUUCGGCGUGUAAACUGCUUUAUCACCGAAGAUUAUGACUGUAGGUGAAGAAUAAGGACCGGCUAACUACGUG